rnacentral:rRNA from 1 species
AUUGAACGCUGGCGGCAGGCCUAACACAUGCAAGUAGAACGAGUGGCGGACGGGUGAGUAAUGUCUGGGAAACUGCCUGAUGGAGGGGGCUAACUCCUGGAAACGGUAGCUAAUAGCGCAUACCAUCGGAUGUGCCCAGAUGGGAUUAGCUAGUAGGUGGGGUAAAGGCUCACCUAGGCGACGAUCCCUAGCUGGUCUGAGAGGAUGACCAGCAACAAUGGAACUGAGACACGGUCCAGACUCCUACGGGAGGCAGCAGUGGGGAAUAUUGCACAAUGGGCGCAAGCCUGAUGCAGCCAUGCCGCGUGUAUGAAGAAGGCCUUCGGGUUGUAAAGUACUUUCAGCGAGGAGGCGUUACCCGCAGAAGAAGCACCGGCUAACACCGUGCCAGCAGCCGCGGUAAUAC